UCAUAGUGUUGUGGUCAGAAAAGAUGCCUACUAUGACUUCAAUCUUUUUUAAUGUGUUGAGGCCUGUUUUGUGGCCUAAUAUGAGAUCUGUUCUGGAUAAUGUUCCAUGUGUACUUGCAAAGAGUAUGUAUUCCACUGUCAGGAUGGAAUGUUCUGAAUAUAUCUUUAAAUCCAUCUGGUCUAAUGUAUCAUUCACAGCCAUUGUUUCUGUUGAUUUUCUGCUUAGAUGAUCUAUCCAUUGAUAUAAGUGGGGUGUUAAAAGUCCCUUACCAUUAUUUUAUUAUUAUGGAUUAUUUCCUUUAUGUUUGUUACCUACUUUAAUGUAUUUGGCUGCUUCCAUGUUGGGUACUUAAUAUUUACAGUUGUUAUAUCUUCUUGUUGGACUGUCACUUUAUAAUUAUAUAGUGUCCUGCUUUGUCUCUUAUUGCAAUCUUUGUUUUGAAAUCUCUGGGAAAUGUGGUGUGAACAGGGGUUUUUGCUGGUCUUCUGGGGGCGGGGCUGCUGUAUUGUGACUGAGGCAAGCAUGACUGAGAAGGGCAGUCCCAGCAGAGCACACGGUCUGGUGCAUGCAGGUGACUCUGUGUUUGUAUUGAGGGGCAGAGGAAAGAAAUGGUGCUGGCCAACUCCUUUGCUCCUGGAGAGGUGUCUCUGUGAACUCUGGUCCUCAGAGACAUGCUCAGAGAAGAGCUAAUAAUCUCCCCAUUCUGUACCAGAUUAUCUCUCAAUUACUUUGAAAAUAAGAGUGUUUGGGAAAGACCCAUUCACCAAAAUGACCUCAAUCAUGCUUAGUUCGGGAGUUUUGGUGGAGAUCACAGGAAGAAUUGCCAUGAAAGGAGCCAGAAGCAAACCCCAAAGAUUGAGUAAUUACUCUUUUGGUAUGAUAUCACUAUUAAAUAUAUUUGAUUUAAAUUUAAACAAGUUUAUUAAAGACCCUUUUAAAAAGCAAAUGGUAAGCAGUUACCUUACGGAGAUGAUACAUAUGCACAUCUGAGAUAAUUGGGUAACUUAAUAUUAACACAAGUGGAAACUUAAGACUUAGCAAACUGUUUCCAAUGACAGCGUCAUCACUCUGUGUCUCAGACAACUAAGUGGAAGUGACAAGGAUUAGCCCUGGAAAACCAUGCUGAUGAUUCAAAAAGAGUUACUGGUGAUGACAAGGAAAACUAUUAUCCAUGAGCAUGCAAAGAUGUGGAUAGAGUUAUUUUAUGAGUGAAAAAGUCAAUAUUUUAUAUUCCUGUUUUGGAUAUUGUCUUAUUUAAAAUAGCAACUAUAGGUAGACAUCCAGCUCUUUAAUCAACAUUUAUAAAAUUUAUACAUUCAUGUUCAAAAAUUUUCUUUAGAUCUCACUGAAAAAUAGGGAGAUCACUCCGUAUUUGGGGCUACACUAUAUUCAAGCCCUGAGGUAACUAAGAACCUGGUUUACUCAACCCCACUUACUCUUUUUUAAGGCUAAGGCUAACCCUAAGUGUUUAUUUCAUCUUCCUCUCCAGAAAAUAAUUUCUUAGGACAGGGCUAUUGUCUUUUUCUGCUGUAACCCUUCCAAAUUGAGUUUUUCCCUCUUGUGGUGUGGGAACAUUCACUUGUCUGUUUUCUCAUGGUCCUUGUCUGUGGAAUGAGGAGAUAGAACAAGAUGUUUAUAAGGGUCCAUCUUGAGGUUUUGUUUUUCAACUCGCUGACUGUAUAUGUUACUUUAAAAAAGUUUUUAAGCCCUUGGUGGAUAAGAAUGGGAAUUAGGAGAUGCUUUCAUGUUGGAGGUAGAGAAGAGGGCAAAUCUCAACCCGAGACAGGUGGUAAAAAAAAAAAAAAAAUCAUUAACAAAUUUGGAAAUCUCUUCUACUCAUGCCCUCAUUUCUUCUUCUAAGCAAGAUUUACCAAGCACCUAUAUCUCCCUAGCAUACUAGGUGCCAGAGACUCAGAGAUGAAAACAAACAAAAAAACAGGGAACCUUCCUCCAGGGGAUGUGGAUCCUAGGUCAGAGAGAGACAAAAACUGGCCAUCAGUGUGGUCUCAGGAAACAGAAGGCCCUUAAGUCUGGGAAGAAGGAAGAGAUGAACAAAUGGUCUCACUCAGGAGGAUCCGUUUGAGUCUCUUCUUCAUUAAGAAGAAUUUUCUCACUAAGCAAAGGACUGGAACUAGAACAUUUGAGAAGAAAUCACAGGCUGGGAGGUAAGAGAAAACAGUGUGUUCCAGCAACUGGAGAGUGUAUAUCUCGAGAAGAGCCUACAUGAAGCUGGAAAUAGAGGCCCGGCCGACCAGGUAAGAGGAUGGAGCCAGAAAACCAAAUGUUGGCCAUUGGGUCAGAAUAGUUGGACAGCAGCAAGCCUUUCAUGUUGCCAGUGAUGCCCCCUAGUGGAUCGGCAGGAGAUGGAUGGGAGCAGCUGGAAGCCACCCUGAAGGAGAGGCCCCAGAGGUAAACAAAUGCGGAUGGUUAUGUGCACAUGGUGGCUGAUGUGGGCAGUCUAUAGCAGAAUGGCGUGGGAUAGGAGGAGGGUGAGCUGAGCACCCAGGAAAGGUGUCCUGUCUCCUUUUGUCACUAGCUGCAGGGGGCCAGAUUCCACCAUUGGAUGACUUUUUCUUUGGCCACAUGAAACUGUAGUUUUGUUAAAAUGCAUUCUGCUGAGGAAAGAGGGACACAUGUCCCUCCCAUUUGUUUCGUUUCAUUUCAUUUCCUUUCAUAAGUUUUUAUUUAAAUUCCAGUACAUUGAUCUCCCUUUUAGGUAUUGCUUUAUGGGCUUAGAGCAAAUGCAUGAGCAGGGAGUGGGGGAAGGCUGGCUUCAGAGCUAACUCAGAUGAGGACUUAAAGGGAUCCUGAUUGAGAAACAUUGCUCUAGGCUAAGGGCUGGGGAGGGGGAAGCUUGAGGGCGAUAGUUGGUGAUGAGAAGGCAGGGAUGAGGAAAAGGGAGAGAAACUCACAAGAGUUAGCAAGGUUUAAGAAGCAAGUGAGUCACUGUGCAAGCCAGCCACGGGCAUGCUGAUCAUCAAGGUUUUCACUAAAAGCAUUUGGGGACAGUUGGUAUACACAGCAAAGAAUCUGGGCUUUGGGGUCAGUUAGAGUUGGGACCCCAUUCUGCUUUUUGUCUAGCAUACAACCCUGAGCAAGUUGUUAAACCUGAGACUGUGUCUGUCAAAAAUGUUGAUACUUACCUUUUUUUUUUAAUGUUUACUUUUGAGAGAGCACGCAUGCCUGAAAGGGGGGAAGAGCAGAGAGAGAAGGAGACACAGAAUCUGAAGCAGGCUCCAGGCUCUGAACUGUCAGCCAUGAGCCCGAUGUGGGGCCCGAACCCAUAAACCGUGAGAUCAUGACCUGAGCUGCAGUCAGAUGCUUAACCCACUUAGCCACCCAGGUGCUCCUUACCUUGUGAGAGUUUUUAAGGAUUUAAUGACCCCAAAUGAGUAUUUUAUAGAUGGUAUGUAUUUGAUCGAGUUUAUAUGCCCGCAGCAGCCUGUGGCACAGUAGGUAAUGAGAAAUGUCUUGGGUGUGCAGGGAAUGUGCACCCCAGCAACAUGAGGAGCCAACGAUUUCUAGUCAAAAUUGUAAAUUUGGAAGUUUGAAUUUUUCAUGGGUCGUUUUCUAGGCUCUGAUUUCAGCUGGGUAGCCUAGGUGUUUGUAAGUCUAGAUUGAAGAAGGGGCCAAAUCCACAGUGACUAAAGAGUGACUGCCCUUUUCAUUCUUUGAAUGCUCAUGCUGAAUUAGGUUUUCUGUUAUGAGAAUCUCAGUGCCUUUGAGUGCCUUUUUACUUAAAUAUUGCUUUAGGCCAUUAAUUUAAAGACAUGAUCCCCUUCGUGGAAGCUUACAGAACCAAAUUCCAGAGAAAUUUGUAUUCAUUCAUUUAAAAGCUAUCACUGAACAAUAGGCUUCUCCUGAAUUUAGCCAAAACUGCAUGGAAAAGUGUUUCCUAUACGGACAGGAUUCAAAUGUACUUACUGGUUGUAGCACGGACAAUUCAUUAAGAUGGUCCUAGCAAAGGGUGUCCAGUCUGAGUCCAAAGGUAGGUCUCUUGGGGAAAAAUUGAUGGCUGGGUUACUCUGCCUACUCUGUCUCUAAAGGAUUGUAUACAGCCCUGGAUAAGGCGGUGGGAGAGACACUUCAUCUGAGGUAGUUUUUUUUUUCCCCUGUUACUUUUGUGUGUGAGGAUUCCUACUAUAUAUUCCAUCAUGUUAUACCAGUAAGAUUCCAGUUUCAUACAAAUGCAUAAGUGGAUACAGAAAUACCAUUAAGUGGGAGAGAAUUCUCACUAAAACAUGUUCAGGAAUAAUACCCUUCUAGUUAGACCUUUCUGGCAUGUUGACAUAACCAUAGUGACAAAGGAUAAAUGUAAAAGAAUCAGAUUUUGAAUGUCCACAGAUUUCUGAAACCAAGCUAUGCCACAUCAUUUGUUUAAAAUCCGUAACAGUUGGGAGAGAAUAAUUAUAAAAAUAAAUGUUGAACUUUGAAUUUAAAGACCUAUUUUUCUCCUCAGUGGACAUAGAACCAUUUUAAGCUAUUGAGACUCCAAGCAGCAACAGGAACGAGGGCCUGGAUUUGGUGGCUUGCACUUCCCUCUGCUUCCCUGCACUCUCUUCUUUUUCUACCUCUGUUCAGCUUUCAUCCUGCUCUUCUGCUUACUUGGACUAACUAGCCAAAGCAUAGGACUUAAAUGUGUAUGUAAAAGUGCAUUCACAGUUGUACUAAGUUUUAGAUUUGUAUUUUGAAGCUGGAAGGCGUGUUUUAUAUUAACUUUAAAGAGAAAAAAGCUUAAACCAAAAGUUAAAGUUGUUUUCUGCCCCUGGGCUAGGGAAACAAUGCUUUGAGGUAACUCUUUCUGGAAGCAGGAUGUGUUGGAUGCAUAAUAUAAAUUAGGAUAAGACAAAAGGUACCACAAAGAAGUCAGGCUGAGCCGGGUAGAGCCAAAUGAAGGAUUUUAAACAAAGGAACACUUAGCUCAAAGCCAAGAUAUUCUUUCUGUAACCUAUAGUACGCACAUGAAAGGAUGAAGUUAAGGGGUGAAGAUGUACAAAUCUAAUUGUCCAGAUUUUCUUCCAAGUGGAACUGUUCACUUAGUUUCACAUACUACUACUCAGCAAUCUUGGGAUGGCAGUGUGAUGUAUGUCUGCUGGCUUCAGGCCUCAUUGUUAAUAAGGAUGAGACUCCAGCAGUGUGGCUACAGACUGGCCACUAGAUGGCACAUUACCUCUGUACUUGGUUGGUCCCUGGCACCCUAGUAGAAAACAAAACAAAACAAAAAACAACCACUGGGAGGUGGCAGGAUAUUGGGAUUCCAGAACUCAUCUUGGAAAAUUCAUUUACCAGUUUUCCAAAUUUACAAUCUCUCAGUCCAUACUUUGUUACUAAGACCAAGACAGUGUAUCAAUUUUCUUCUAAAACCUAUUCCAUUAUGCUAAAUGAACAUUUAAAAAGCCACAGAACCCUCUGAAGGCAUCUAGUUUACACUAAGACCCUAGAGCAGUAGUGACAAAUACUGGUAUCUCAAACAUUAUGUGUAAUGACAUCCAACUGUAGUGAUCAUACACAGAAAAAAAAUUUAAACAAGAAUUUAUUUCUUAAAUUUACUUAAAGGAUUAGAGCGGAUACAUAGGCAACGUUUACAAUAACAUUUAGAGUUAUGUCAACAUAAGACCGAUAGCUAUGGUAACAAUUAGCACAUGCAAUUCACUGUAGAGGUAAAAAUACUUACUCUCUCUAGACAAGCCUUCUACACGAAGGUAGACUACGUAGGGGUAAAAGAGCAAGUGAACUUGAGAGGAUUGCACUUACAAGUAAAAGGGACAUAGCUAAGAUAUAAAGAGGAUACAUACCUAAUGCUAAUCACUGUAUUGUAGUACUAGCAAAUUGCACACUUACUUAGAGUAUAUUCAAUAAACAUGUUAAGACUAAAGGAUUUUCAAAUAACUGCCUUUAAAGUAACCAUCUGACAUCACAUUUUGGUAUUCAUGUUACACCACUUGAAACAUGUAGUUACCAUUCAGACAAAACUGGUCUUUAAGGGAUAAAAGAUGUAGAACGUUUCUCUCCAUGGUCUUCAAUGCAUUUUCAUCAUUAACUUUAAAGCACUUGGUAAUGAAGUUAAACUAGCCCACCUGAAGGAGCUACCGAUGAUGGCAAAAAGCUCUUAAAAAUUUAGGAACAAAUGGACAACACAAGAGCUCAUCCCAGGUGGUCUUUUUUCUUUUUAACGAAGUGUAUAGUAGAAUAUCACACUACUGCAUAAUAGUAGCACAUACAAAAAAAAGAUUAAUCCAAAAGACAGUACAUUUGGCUCUAGAAAGUUGUUUUGACUUGCAUCCGAAUUCUGUUUAUAAAUAUUCUGAAAAGGAACUGCUGUCAAAGACCAGUUGCUACUUUAUACCUUCUUUUAAAAAUAAAAUUGGGUCAUUGUCAUGGAUUUCAAAGUUUUUUUUUUUUUUUUAGUUAUGUCUUCUCUCAGCAUAGGGCUUGCUUGAACCUAUAACCCCAAGAUCAAGAGUCACAUGCUUUUCCGAGCAAGCCAGGAAUCCCGACCAUGACCAAUUUUAGGUUAAACAUAAAUAGCUUGCCAUUUUAUGGCUCCAUAUUCUCAUUUUAUAGAAAAGUGCAAUAAUUUUUUUAAAGCAAUCUUGGGCAGCAGAAUUGAACACGACCUG